AAUUAAUGUUUGCAUAUAUUUAUAUAAAAGCGAUAUAAAAUUUGAUAUGGCGCAUGCGCAGUGUAGAAAAUCGUUCCGAUUAUUCGCUCUGCCUUGGCACUGCUGUCACCGUGUUUACAAGUUUUAUUUUUUGUAAAAGCGAUAGUUAUUAUUUGAAUAUUUAUCCCGUGCAAAAAAAAUGUUUAAAAAAUAAACGGGGAGAGAGAAGAAUUUAUACGGUCAGUUCUGACAAUCCGCCUGCGCUACCGCUAAAGACGGCGCUCCUUCCUAAUUUCGAAUAAUGGCGCCGAAACGAAGGACGUUAACUGGUCGUAGGGAAAAGAAAAGGAGAUGUACUGAAGCACGUGUUUGAUAUGAACAGGAAAAACCGUUUUAGAUCAAAUAUAGAUGUGCUGUUGCUGAUGAUAUUUCAAAUGUAAGACCAUUCAACUUGGGGUAUUUAGAUAAUGAAUGUAGUUAUUGCUCUGCACUAUACUUUUCGUGU
rnacentral:lncRNA from 1 species